UAGUACAACGGCCCUGAUUGACUACGCGGAGACAGAUUGGACUGAUGUGGCUGCUGCUACGUGAGAGUUUAUUAGGCGCCUAUAGUGAUCUUUUGGCGACUAUAAGAGAUAUUGAGCGGGAGACGGGAAGGGCCACCGGGUGUGGCUCUU
ensembl:ncRNA F57G12.4 ncRNA